rnacentral:rRNA from 1 species
GAUGAACGCUGGCGGCGUGCCUAAUACAUGCAAGUCGAGCGAACGGACGAGAAGCUUGCUUCUCUGAUGUUAGCGGCGGACGGGUGAGUAACACGUGGAUAACCUACCUAUAAGACUGGGAUAACUUCGGGAAACCGGAGCUAAUACCGGAUGAUAUUUUGAACCGCAUGGUUCAAAAGUGAAAGACGGUCUUGCCGUCACUUAUAGAUGGAUCCGCGCUGCAUUAGCUAGUUGGUAAGGUAACGGCUUACCAAGGCAACGAUGCAUAGCCGACCUGAGAGGGUGAUCGGCCACACUGGAACUGAGACACGGUUCAGACUCCUACGGGAGGCAGCAGUAGGGAAUCUUCCGCAAUGGGCGAAAGCCUGACGGAGCAACGCCGCGUGAGUGAUGAAGGUCUUCGGAUCGUAAAACUCUGUUAUUAGGGAAGAACAUAUGUGUAAGUAACUGUGCACAUCUUGACGGUACCUAAUCAGAAAGCCACGGCUAACUACGUG